GGGAGCCCAUCGAUAAAAUGAAGGCUCCUCUGCAUUGUGACCGCUGAGAAAGUUGCAGGGUGUCAAAGGAAAUGACAUUGAAAUGAAGGCCGUGGAUGGGGCUGCAUACAGCAGGGAUAGGGAAGAAAGAGAUGUUGGCGGGACAACAAGGUCUGAAGGUGGCCCGGGAAGAUGGUCUUCAAACAGGUCAGCACCUGGACAGCUCCCUGUAGAGUUUAGGAAUGCGGGAGCAGGGGAUCUUUGCAAAAGAGUCCUCCUACAGGGUGUGAAGGGUAUGACACUGAGCCAGCGGGGCAAGGAGUCUGAGGAGAUGCUUAGCAAUGGAAUUCUAAGUUUUUUCUUGGACCCAGUUGGACCCCAUCAUUGGCUGCUCACCGGAGACUAGGGAGUUCCUUUUCACUCGGUUACCUUCAUGAAGUUGCAUUUCAAUAUUAGGCCCUUAACUUGAUAAAGAUCACUAAAGAAAAAUCAUGUGAAAUUUACUACUUCAUUUGCUGCUUUAGAAAACCCGAAAUAUUGUUGAAGACCUCAUUCCUUCCGUUGCUCAGUCUCUGUUCUGUGUAAUAAAAUCAUUCCCAUGAAAUUUCCUUCAGAAUUCAGUGCCGGGAAAGGCUUCCACUCCUGGAGGCACACAUACGCUCCCUCUUCUCCAGUUAUGAGAACCCUAUAACUGGUCAUUGUUCCCACUUUUUGGACUGCUAAGAAAUGCAAAGCCAAGUUUGAGGAUCAAUGACAGCAAUUUUGGUAACUCUUGGGGGAAAUAUAUUCAUGUCUUUAUCGUCUUCGGUACUGACCUUCUAUUUUUAUUUUAUUAUCCACUUCAAAUGUCCUACUUGCAAGCCACUUCAAAUCCUGUGGAAAGAGACAAAAGCCAAAAUUUCUCUGGACCAUGAGCUCUGGUAAUCAUUGCCUCCCUAAGAUGCAGCCCAGUCCUGGCCCCUAAUGUCGUGCUCACGUAAAUAUUUGUCGAACGAAUGAAGGAAUGGAGGCACUUGACAACAAACCAGCCAAGGACAACACUGAUAUCGAUUGAAAAGUAACACGAGUUUCUGGUUGAUCCAAGAACCAGAAAACGUUACCAUGGAAGUAAGGCUUUAAGAAACAAAACAAAGGAAAUAAGUACCUAGAGUUUCAAAAAUGUUCAGUCAUUCUAUUUCUGGGAACCUAAUGGAGGAAAUGAAUCAAAAUGCUUUCAAAAUUCUAAGAACAAAGAUGUUCAUCACUGAGUUGUUACAAUAAUUUAAAAACUGAAAACAAUCUAUAAGUCCAAUAAUAGGGGAAUUAGUAAGAAAAUUGUGGUGAUGUGUAUAAUGGAAAGUGGUAGCCAUUUAAAAUUUUUGGUGCAAAGUGUUCUCAAUGACUUGAAGAAAAUAUAUGCACUAAGAGUACAAGAAAAAGCAGGAUACAGAAUUGUAGAUUCAUCACAUUCUCCACAAUGUAAGAAAAUAUUCAUAGAAGGAAGGAAAUAACUACAAUGCUAUCAGUGGUUGUCUCUCGGUUGUGUGAUGCUGGGUGAAUUUUAUUAUUUUGUCUUGACUUCUUUGUAUUUUCCAAGUUUUCACCACUAAGUGUGUAUUUUAUAGAGGAGAAUAGGCUUAAUUAAAAAUGGAAGAGAAAAAGAUACAAAGCAAUAGUAAGACCCAUUGAAACGCUCUUUGGGACAAGAGCAUCAUUCCAUCAAAAAUACAACUGGAGUGAUUUCUUGCUUCUCUUCCGGGUGGCUGUCAGUGCCAUGGAAGUCUCCCCUACCUACAGUGUGGUGUUUUUAAAACAGGUCCUCGAAUUCAAGUCUGAGCUUAGUUCCUCUCCCGUUGACUACGGUCUGGCCUUAGUGACUU